rnacentral:misc_RNA from 1 species
AACGCAUCUUGCGCCCUGUGGUAUUCCACAGGGCACGCCUGUUUGAGUGUCACGUUAAUCUAUCACCCUUGAAUUGUUAACUCGGUUCUUGUCGGUGGAUUUGGGUGCUGCCGUUGUUGGCUCGCCUUGAAAUACAUUAGCAUUGGCUCUCGUAUGAGAUGUAUCGCGGUGUGAUAGUUCUUUGCAUCGUUGGUCUUGUGCGGGCUGAGGCUUACAAUCGUCCUUUGCGGGACAAUCUAUUCGAACCUUGACCUCAAAUCAGGUGGGACUACCCGCUGAACUUAA